ACACAUACUAAGAGGGAGAGAUAGAUUAAUGUCAAAUGUGACAAGGUCCAAUAAAACAGUAAUUAAAACACAUUCCCAAGGUUUAAACAAUUUUAUUUUAGCGCCUUAUCUCAUAGCUCAAUUAUUGUUUAAGGCAUAAGUCCAUAGUCACCAUUUUCUAACUACUUAAUCACAUUAAAUAAUCAAAAUGGAAUGCAACAUGAACAUUUAGAUUUAGUGCAUAUGGGCAUAAUAGUAUUAUGAGUUUAAACAACUAACAAAAUUAAAAUCAAAUAUUUUAACUUUCUAGUUAGUAGGGGCUUAAAUGCAAAUAAGAAAAAGUUAGGGGUCAAACCGUAAAUACUCAAAAGUAUAAAAUAUCUUUUUCCAAAUUACAAAAACCCCCCAAGUAGAUAAAUCUACUAGGGUGGCCGGCCACAUUAAGGGGAGAUGGGAAGUCUCACCAAUCUUGCUUUAAUUCAAUGCAAAGUAGAAAAAAUCCAAAUUUGCUUGUCACUUGGUUUUGGCAUUAAAACUUAGGUGAAAAGGAUUGAUGGAAAUUUCCUAGUCAAGUCUAGGAUUUAAUAAAUUUUUGGGAAGGCUAUGGAUGAUAAGUAUAUCAUCCAAAACCAUAAAACAAUUUAUGAAAACCAAAUAAAACCAUUUUCACCAAACACAAACCAUGAACACCAAGAACAAAACCAUGAACAUAAUUUCAAGAUUUGUGUAUUCUUGGUGAUUUUUCAAACCCAAAAACUAAAGUGACAAGGGCUCUACUUUCUAGCUUUAAAAUGAUGUGUGAGUGUCUUACAACAAAACACAAACACAUGCCCAAAACCCCCCUUAAUGCCGUGCCUACCACAAGGAACAAAACCCCAAAUUUUGUUCAUAACUUACUCUUCAUUCAUGCAUCCAAAACACCUUUUUACAUGCAUAUCUUUUUCAACUCUUGAUUUAUAUUUUUCAACCAUUGAAAAACAAAAGAUAAACAUACUUUAAAUGAAGAAAUAAUAUGUCAAACUAGUUCAAAACUCAAUUUUCAUUCAUGCAUACAAAACAUCUUUUGCAUACAUAUCUUUCUCAACUAUUGACUAACAUUUUUCAACUAUUGAAAAACAAAAGAUAAACUUAUUUUGAAUGAAGCAAUAAUUAUAUCAUACAUAAUAUUAAUACCCAUAUGCAUAAAAUCCAAAAGGACACAUUAUACAUAAACCUUUGGCUCUGAUACCACUUGAAGGGAAAACUAUGAGUUUAACACAAGGGAUUUCGAAAUGACUAGCAUGCAUAUACAAUUCAAAAUUUAUAUACAUAAGCAACGGAAGCAUGUUAUCAAAUAAUAUCAAAGCAAUAAUCAUGCAAAUCCCCUUCAAGGUUCAUAGGUUUAUAUAUAAUGCAUCUAAAACAUUCAAGUUAAGAACUAAGUGAAAGUAUAGAUCUAUACCUCUUGAUCUUGAUUUUAGACCAAGGAUGGACCACCUCCAAGUCCUUUGCUCCUUGAAGUCCUUGAGCCUAGCCUCCCUCCUUGCCUCCUCCACUUUGUUAGUAAGAGUGCUCCAAGGUUCUCCUUUAGUCUCUAAAGAAGAAGACCUCUAAAUAUCCACACCCACUAGUGUAGUGAGAUGGAUGGAGGAAUAACCAAAAGGGUGAAAGAUUGUUAGCUAAAUCACCCUCAAGGUGGCUGGCCUUUGGUGUUUUAGAGAGAUGUUUCUUUUGCCUCUUUGUUGUUUUAAAACACACAAAAACCCUAAGGAAUAAAUCUCUAUAAAGUUCCUUAUAUAGACAAAAAGAAACCUAGUCAACAAAUUGACUUAAUAUCUCUCCCUCUACACUUUAAAUGGCCGGCCCCUUUGUGUUGGUUUGGGCUUUGGGCUUUU
rnacentral:lncRNA from 1 species